rnacentral:tRNA from 1 species
AUAGAACGGAUAAGUGUCUGAGAGGUUUAAAGUAUCAGUCUUGAAAACUGACGUACUUAUGGUACCGGAGGUU